UGUUGAAACACCGGUAUCCCAUACGAUCACCGAAGUUAAGUCACAGCGUGACUGGUCUGUCCCUAGAUGGGUGACCACUUGGGAAUACCAGGUGCUGUAAG